rnacentral:lncRNA from 10 species
AAUAGGAAGUAUGGUUUAUUCCCCCAUGCUAAUCUGGCUAGAUUACCCUCUGGACUAUUGGUCACAUCCUGACCAUACCGUGUUAGUUUUUACAAAAAAUAGCAUUUACAGCUCAACCUGCAUUACAAGGAAAAAAUGACUAUCAAGACUUCACAAUAGUGGUCUUCAAAACAUUACAAAUUUCCAAAUGUCAAAAAUCGUGAGACAUCUCCAAACCACAUCAACAGUUAACAGAAAGUCAUAUUUGUCCCUUGAAACUGCCUCUACAAAAUUACCCAUGUGAGAAGAAACAAAGUGACUUCCAUUCCUGCUUAGGUAUCUGAGGCUGAUUUCACUUUGAUCUUAGAUGAGAAGAAGCAGGUAAAGCUGUUAAGAAUCUGAAAGAAAACUGACUCAGUUGGCCAGAAGGACUCAGAAGUAGGAGUCUGGACAACAGUCUCCCGAGAGUGAAGAAACUGCACUGUUGCUGAGAAGCAGCUUCCCUGGUGCCUAGGAAUGAAGAGACAGUGUCUUGUUCUGUCACCCAGGCUGGAGUGCAGUGGUGUGAUCUCAGCUCACUGCAACCUCUGCCUUCCGGGUUCAAGCAAUUCUCCUGCCUCAGCCUCCAGAGUACCUGGGAUUACAGGUGCCCACCACGACACCCUACUAAUUUUUUGUAUUUUUAAUAGAGACAGGGUUUCACCAUAUUGGCCAGGCUGAUUUCGAACUCUUGAUCUCAAGUGAUUCACCUGCUUUGGCCUCCCAAAGUGCUAGGGUUACAGACAUGGGCCACCACACCUAAUCAGUAGAUAGAUAGGAAUUUAAAUGCUAACUUUCUCCUACUACUUUCAAUAAAUGGAUAUAUGGCUUUCAAUAUUCUAAUCACAAACACCUAGCUGCCAAAUAAAGCCAGGUGUCCAGUCAAUGCAGAUUAAUCUGUGUGUUAUAUACAGAUGUGAUGCCCAGAGGAAAAAUAGUGAGCCAAUAUUCUUCUUUGCAACUGGCAUAAAUCUUAAUUCAUUCUACACAUGUGAUGAAUACAACUUGCAUUGCCUCUUCUGUAAAGGUGCUUUCAUUCCAGUAGUACAGGUGGUUUCAACCACAUACAUAAGGCUCCUUCCAAUGAGUUUCUUAAGAACUUGAUUUUAUUACAGGGCAAGUAAUUAUCACAAACAUUUAACAGUAAUUUAAAUGAUUUAGAGGCAGACACAGAUAGACAGAGAGAGAGAAAAUGAAUUAGUGAUGUGCUGGCGUCCACUGACAUCUAACCAUGUAAGUCAAAUUAGCCAUGAUAGGAGUAUAGUUACACCAUGAAAAUCACAACACCACACACACACGUGCACACACACACAUAAAUCAGGUUUAUUUGUUUUUCAGAGAGUUUGUUGCUAAACAUUUACCAGCACACCCUAAAGAGAGGAGAAAAAAAUAUGUGAAGAAAAAGAAAAAAGGAGAAAUCAAAGAAAGAGAAAGCAAAAAGAGCAUAUUUGGAUGUGGAAGAAGAAAAAGACAAGUUGAACUGUCUUAAAUUCCAGCCCAUGAAAGCCUUUUUUUUCUUUCCUUCCGUGUAGUUUCCAGACUAGCUGAUAAACUUCCUAAAAUAUUACCCCAAGUUUUACAAUGUGACUCUCACCUAUUUUCUUCAUGUCUUAGGCCAGAGUCUUUCAAGAAAAAAAGUCUUAUUAGAGAAGUCUUCAUAUCUCGUGAGGAUGAAUUAAAAGCAGAAUCUCAACUUUGCUACCUUUAAAUGUCACGGAGAGAAAAAACUGCAAAACCAUGUGCAACAAUAUCCAUGAUAAAUCAUCUUUGAUCUCAACAUAACGGAGACUAUAAGGAGUAUAAAGACUAGAAGAAAGAGUAGAAGCCAGAAAUUUUACAGAUUUUUUUCUGAUUUUAAUUUAUGUGUGUAUAAAUAUCUUGGUGAUAUUAUGACAUGCCACAUUGUUGCAAACGAACUACUCUUUUAGUGCAUCAGUGUUCAGAGUAGUGAUUGUAUUAGCCUACAGUAGCCAAGAGUGCAGAGCAGUAAUUUUCCCUACAUCAUGAUGUCAAACUUUUAAAUCCAACCGUUCAAAUUAGCAAUAAGUAAACUGCCAUACUUACUCAUUUUUUCAAAAAAAAUCAGAUUUGAUCUCAUACCUAAGAAAUUAAAUUUGUAAUAUUGGCAAUCAGAGCUAGCCAUAUGUUUGUUAUUUAGCCACCAUGUGUAUUUGGCAAGUUUCUACCCAGUGUAUAUUUCAAAUAUCUUUUUCCAGUCUGUUAGUUUACUUUAAGGAUUUUGUUUAUGACAUCUUUUGGGUAAACUUCAGCACUUUGAUGAUCCUCUUUUAUUGUCUUCUGUAGCUCUACAGCUAUGGAGACUGGCUGUCAGUCUAAUUUUAAUUUUAAUUUUAAUUUUAAUUCUAUUAUAGGUGAUCCACAAUCAAUUCAGAACCUGGUCUUCUAUGGUGGCUCACAGUUCCUGCACCCUACAAUAUCGUGAAUUUUCUUCCUCUUCAUCUAAUGACAUGAAUAUGCUCCAGUGGAUCCUAGGAUAUCUUUCACAUGAGGUUACCCUUGCCCUUUGGAUGUCAGGUGGAACAAAGGGAUGGAAGAUUUUUUGUACUGGGACAUUCAGUAAACCCCUAGGCCUACCUAUUGUCUAGUCAGAGUUAGAGAAGCAAAUGAUGUCUGUGAGGGCCUACAAGGCACAAGAGGAUGAAAGUUUAACUUAAAGUUUAGAUGCUGAUAUUCUAGCUAGUAAUAAUGUAUGAUUGCCUCAUGUACUACUCUUUUUUUAUAUUUCUCUCCUAAUGUAUAAAGAUGGAUUUCAAAAGAUAGGCAGCCUGGGAUUCAAAUUCUGAUCAUCUUUUCACUUUGUAAACUAAUGGAUAUAUUUUUUUAAAACAUUGUGUUUAAUACACGCCAAUGCCAAAGGCUUUCUACAGACUCAUGUGGAGUGGGAUGAUGCCCAGAAUGUCGAUAAAUUGACAGAAUAAUAUGAAGAGAAUGAUUCUGUCCAAAGAGGUUAAUCAUUAAAAUGCUCAGAGGAGACCUCAGCAGGCCCUUGAAGAACACAGCAAUUUAAGAAGUAAAAAGGAGGAUGUAGGGGAAUGUUAGUCAGGGUCAAGCCAAACAUUGAAUUCAGCAUGGCAAAUGAAAUUUACUGUAAGUGGUCUCUGUGCUGAGAUACAUAUUACUGUUUGUGCAAAUUUAGUUCCGUUAACUUUUCCCAAAACUUCUUCACCACCUUAUCUUGGAGCUUAAUUCUAACUCUCUCUACUAUGUCCAUACUAUGGGAAUGUCUUCAAGAUAAUAUUGUCUUGUUAAAAUUCGGCUUCAGACUUCAGGACUUUUACAUUCUUGGAUGGGGAUCUAAACAAGACAUGAACCAAUCAUAAGGAAAUAUGGCUCCUUCUCCAUUAUUUUAAACAAGAAAAUAUUAUUGUUAUUGUAGCUGUUUGAGAGACAAGGAGAUUAAACUUGCUACGGUUAAGAAAUUUGAAAGCAGAUUUUUUUAGAGGCAGACAAUAAGGAAGAGUGUUUUUGGACAUACUUUGCUCAAACCUUUCCUGUGUUUGAGUAUUCCACCCAAACAGAACUUUCUCCAUUGAGCCAUUUGCUGUCCUGUCAGCUAAAAAAUAAAAAAUAAAAAAAACAAUAAAACAAAACAAAACAAAGAGCAAAAACCAUUUUAUCUUCUUGAUACUGUGGCACUUGAUGUGCAACAGAGAGACUACAUUCUUGCAAUCGGUCAGAAGCAGAACUUGACCAAUAUGAAACAAUACAUAUCCUAAGAAAACAACAUGCACAGAUAAUUUGCAGAAAGUUUAGAACAACAACAAUAAAAUAUUUUAAUUUGCUUUUUUUGAGAUGGUGUCUUACACUGUUGCCCAGGCUGGAGUGCAGUGGCGCAGUCUUGGCUCACUACAACCUCUGCCUCCCGGGUACAAGCGAUUCUCCUGCCUCAGCCUCCUGAGUAGCUGGGAUUACAGGUACCCACCACCACACCGGCUAAUUUUUGUAUUUUUAGUAGAGAUGGGGUUUCACGAUGUUGGUCAGGUCGGUCUUGAACUCCUGACCUCGUGAUCCACCCGCCUCAGCCUCCCAAAGUGCUGGGAUUACAGGCCUGAGCCACUGUGCCCAGCCUUCUGUAUUAUUUUCAGUAUAUGUGCUGCUGAAGUGAGCACUAACCUUUUUAAUGCCUUCAUUAUAUUUUCAAAUACUUCUAGGAAUUAGUAUUACAGGCAAGAUUAAUCAGUGUUAACUACUGAUAUUAGAAUAAUGAUUCAAUUUAAAUCUUUCAAAUAGUAAUUUGUCAAAUAAAUAUUCAGGAUAUCUUGUAAUAGCUAAGUUUACAAAGAAAAGUAAGACAUAGUCCUUGCUCUUGAGAAACUUAUGAUGUAUUAAGAAAAACUAGAAGCCAAUAUGGUAAACGAUAAUGAAUGUGCAUAAACCAGUGUGGGGAUAUAAGGCAGUUACAAAGAUCUUCACAAGGCUCAGGCUGGGCUUCAGAUUCUUGAGGACAUUUGAGCCUUGAAGAGGUCUUUCAGUCACUCAACAUGUAUUCCUUAGGUGCCAAUUAUGUUCAGAUGCUCAGUAAAUGGAAUUGCAUUUUGUAAGGAGGGAGACUCAAGGUCAAAGCAGGAAGAUUGUAUCCAAUCUGGAGCCAGCAAAUUGACAGGGAGAGAGAAGGGAAUUAAUAAUUACUUCGCACCUAUUGUCUACUGGGUGCUUAAUCUCUCAGCAGGCCUAGUUCAAGAUUUUUGUUCCCACAUUACAGACGACAAACUCUAAAUGCAAGGAAUUCAUAGCACUGCCUUUUGUCCUGUGUGGACUCUGUCUUGCUUCUUCUCCUGUAUUUUUAUGUUGCUUUUUUUUUGGACAUUGUGACAGCAUUCUAAGUCCUAAAGCCCACCCAUGUCCACCCAUCACCUCCUUUUAUAAUGCUUAUUGGUUUGGGUUUCAAGAUAUCUUUCAUGAGCCAUACUCACAUUACCUUCAUGAUAUUAAUGAAAUUUCCUACAAUUGCAUGUAGAUCACUGUUUCUUAUUAUUUUGCAUGAAGUUUAGCUGACACGAACCUGCUUUACAAAUGUACAUUUACUCCCAAAUUCACUUGCUUUGCAAUGCUUUAGAUGGGUUUACCUAAAAACCUUGGCUACAAUUGAGAGCACCUGCCAGUUCCACAGGAGCAAUAAUCAGAAGUGGUUUCUGACACUGAGCAAUGCUAUGGUCACACAGGGACUACCUGGAACAUUGAGACAAUUACCUUAAGAUCAAGGCCCCUAAACCAAAAGAAGAGAAAAAAAAAGUUUUUUUGUUUUUCAAUUGCUGGGGUGGCCAUAUCUUUAUUAAGCAUUUACUUCAAGGGAGGAGAUCGAUGAAAAAGGCUAGGACUCUAACAUAAUCAGAAUUUCACAAAAUUGUUGGGGAUGUUAAGGCUCAAAAUAACAACCUGUAUUUUACUAUAGAAAAAUUUAACUGUUUCUUUUAAUGUCUCUUAGCAUCAUGAGGACCCAAAAUUAUCUUAUAUCCUUUAUGUGACUCAAUAUGCCUGCUAGCAAAUUGCUGAUCACCAGGGUGGUGCUUACUUCUUAGCUUUUAAAUUAUAUGGUAAUAUUAAAAAUAAGUCUUAAAGGAUCCUAAUUCUUUAAUAGUAGCCAUCUUUAUUCCACAAGCCUCACUGUGAAUUAUUUAUCGAAAUUCAUUAAGUGAAUCACUUGCUCACGAAUGUAGCAAAUAUUUGUUAAGCUGUCUCACUGUGUGCCAAGUGGUCACUUUUUGGACAUAGAGAUUAGAAGCAUUUGGUUCCUACCCUCAAUGAGUUCACUUUAGAAUCAAUGAAAGAAGGAACAAAAUGACCUUUGUGACAAAAUCACAAUACAAAGGAGUAAGUGCCACAGUAUCUGCACUUAUCCAAUAUGAACAAGGCUUCUCAACCUCAGCCUGGGGAUUGAGAUUAAGGAGCUGCUGGCAUUGACCUUUGGGAAAUGAGUGAUGAUUAGGCAAGUGGCCAUGGUUGGGUAAGGUAUACCAAAUGGGAGUUUUAUAUGGCAUAAGACAUAUAUCAAUAAUAUUUGUGGAUGCAUUUAACUAGAGUCCAAAUCCAGUGGCCGAUUAACUCCAACCGUUUUUUUGAUUUCUCAGGGUAGUAACCAGCUGAGCUGUUAAGCCAGUCAAGGCAGCAGAACAGUUGCAACAGCUCAACGGUGCCCCUUUUAAAAAUAUUUUAGGGAUAUAUUUAAACCUUGUUAGUCAUUUAAAUAUAAGAAGAAGUUCAAUAUUAUUGUUGUUGUAAUUAAGUGG